CCUCGCAGCCACCAGGCACCAUAGCAUCCAGAGGACACCCCAGCCUGGAAGCUAAGCAGGGUCAGGCCUGGCUGGGGAUUAUAAUGGAAAAGCGCCUGGAAAGACCAGGGGCUGAAAGCU
rnacentral:rRNA from 1 species